rnacentral:misc_RNA from 1 species
GAUGAAGAACGUAGCGAAAUGCGAUAAGUAACGUGAAUUGCAGAAUUCAGUGAAUCAUCGAAUCUUUGAACGCACAUUGCGCCCGCCAGUAUUCUGGCGGGCAUGCCUGUUCGAGCGUCAUUACAACCCUCAGGCCCCCGGGCCUGGCGUUGGGGAUCGGCGGAAGCCCCCUGCGGGCACAACGCCGUCCCCCAAAUACAGUGGCGGUCCCGCCGCAGCUUCCAUUGCGUAGUAGCUAACACCUCGCAACUGGAGAGCGGCGCGGCCACGCCGUAAAACACCCAACUUCUGAAUGUUGACCUCGAAUCAGGUAGGAAUACCCGCUGAACUUAAGCAUAUCAAUAAGCGGAGGA